rnacentral:rRNA from 4 species
AUAACGACUCUCGGCAACGGAUAUCUCGGCUCUCGCAUCGAUGAAGAACGUAGCGAAAUGCGAUACUUGGUGUGAAUUGCAGAAUCCCGUGAACCAUCGAGUUUUUGAACGCAAGUUGCGCCCAAAGCCAUUAGGCUAAGGGCACGUCUGCCUGGGCGUCACGCAUCACGUCGCCA